rnacentral:tRNA from 1 species
CAGGGAGACAACAAAAUGUAAAUAUUAAUUUUGUCACCUUAGGUCGAUCGGUAUCUCAGAUUCUUAUUAUUUAAGAAUUUCAGUUUCUAAGUUUUUUCUAGGUCACACCCAUCACUUUUUCCUGGGCCAUUAGCUCAGGUGGUUAGAGCGCACCCCUGAUAAGGGUGAGGUCCCUGGUUCAAGUCCAGGAUGGCCCAUAUCUCUAUGUUGGGGGUAUAGCUCAGUUGGUAGAGCGCCUGCUUUGCAAGCAGGAUGUCAGCGGUUCGAGUCCGCUUACCUCCACUGAAUACCACCUCUUACAUAUAGUUGAAGUGGGAAAUUGUUUUGAGUCGUGCCCUAAUUUGCUCUGAGCGAAUCUAGCUUCCUAUUUUAUCCAAGAAAUAAGAUGCUGGACUCAUUGAAUUUUUUUUCAUUGUUUUCAGAGAACCUUGACAACUGCAUAGAUUAUUUUUAAAGACAAUAAGCAUCUUUAAUGAUGCAGAUUUAUUAUUUGUGCGAAUGCAUUAAAUAACAAUUCUAUUAAGCUGAUGCUUCAAUUAUUGAAGUUAUU